CAGUCGCCGCGGGAAAACAGAGGGUGCAAGCGUUAAUCGGAAUUACUGGGCGUAAAGCGCGCGUAGGUGGUUUGUUAAGUUGGAUGUGAAAUCCCCGGGCUCAACCUGGGAACUGCAUUUGUGACUGGCAAGCUAGAGUGUGGCAGAGGGGGGUGGAAUUCCGCGUGUAGCAGUGAAAUGCGUAGAUAUGCGGAGGAACACCGAUGGCGAAGGCAGCCCCCUGGGCCAAUACUGACGCUUAUGCACGAAAGCGUGGGGAGCAAACAGGAUUAGAUACCCGAGUAGUCCCUGUCUCUUAUAC
rnacentral:rRNA from 1 species